rnacentral:rRNA from 1 species
AUGGCGACGGACAUGUUGACCAUAUACCUACACUAUGAAGAUACAAAUCAGGAAGCCAAAAUUUUACAAAGAUCCAUGAUGAGACGUGAUGUCUCAUAUUACGACUUAAUCUUGAUGAUCGAAGAAGUUGGCUUUCAGGAGAAGGCUGACGAUCAUAUUGCUCCGCCUAGCAAGCAAAUUGAUGUUGCUCCAUCUAACCAUCCAAAUGAGAGUAUUCUCUUACAGGACGGUGGUGUCUCUACUGAAGGGGCAGGGCAACUUACUAUGCAAGGGCCGCAAAGACCACCACGUAGGUCAAAAAGGUUGAAUAUGAUUCAGGUUACAGACCAACGUGAUGAUGAAGAUGGAGACUGCAACAAUGGUGAGCAAUUCCCACAAGGUCAUGAAUCACAAGCAUUGGUCGAUGAAGAGGGUCAAGUUCACAAUCAAGACAAGGAAGUACGCAAGCGCAAGAGAACAAGCUUGCCAAUUGUCUGGAACAUGCCAAAGGAACAGAGAAUAGUUGUGAAAUGCAAUGAAGAUAGCCAGCCUAUAGGAGAUGAAGGUGCAAUCUUGGGGAAGUUUCUGGGCAUGGUUGCUAGAAAUGGAGGAUUUUGCCCACUAAACAUAAAUGAUUGGCGUCAUGUCAAAAAGAAUAGUGGUGAGGAAACAAUAUUGCAGUGCGUACAGACAAAGUUCGUGUAUCCUCGAUCAUGUGAAAAAUGGAUACUCAAAUCAAUUGGAAGAGACUGGAGGAAAUUUAAGUCUAGUUUGAAAGAUGCUUUCUUCAAACCCGCCAUUGAAAAAAUCCAAACAUCAAGCGAAAGGCUUUGUAUAAGCUCUGUCCAGAAGAUGUGGACAACGAUCAAUGGCGUGGGCUUGUUAAAUAUUGGAAGUCCGAAAAAGGAAGGGCUCUUGCUGAGAAGAACAUAA